GUCUAAGGCCAUAUCACCCUGAAAAAGCCUGAACUUGUCUGAUCUUGGAAGCUAAGCAGGGUUGGGCCUGGUUAGUACCUGGAUGGAAGGAAACAGGUGAUAAUUC
rfam:Erinaceus europaeus unplaced genomic scaffold scaffold00901, whole genome shotgun sequence